UACGUAGGGUGCGAGCGUUGUCCGGAAUUACUGGGCGUAAAGCGCGCGUAGGCGGCUUUUCAAGUCGGGCGUGAAAGCCCCGGGCUCAACCCGGGAACUGCGUCCGAUACUGGCAGGCUUGAAUCCGGGAGAGGGAUGUGGAAUUCCAGGUGUAGCGGUGAAAUGCGUAGAUAUCUGGAGGAACACCGGUGGCGAAGGCGGCAUCCUGGACCGGUAUUGACGCUGAUGCGCGAAAGCCAGGGGAGCAAACGGG
rnacentral:rRNA from 1 species